CGGGGGAGGCCGGAUCCUGGGCUGUGUCCCGGCGCCCUGUGCCCGGGUCUGUGCUGUUGGAUUCGCGCUCCCGCCCCGCAGCCCCCU
rfam:Canis lupus familiaris chromosome 16, whole genome shotgun sequence.